UGUCGUGCAAUUGUGAAUAAGUAAGCAUAUUUAAUACUAGCAUAAAAAAUGGUUACUCGGACAUAUGGCCUGCAAUUGUGAAUAAGUGGUCAAGAAAUCCAAAUGGAGUCCCUCAAGAAUCUCUUGGAUAUAAGCAAGGUUACAGAGUUGAUGUGGAUAUUCCUGACCAAACAUGGGUAGAGGCAUGUAGCUUCCAUGAUGUUCUUAUUUUCAACACUGGGCAUUGCUGGGAUUCCACAUCUUAAGUGGUUUGGGGUGGAGGGGCAGUACAAUGUCAUGGUGAUUGAUCUGCUUGGUCCAAGUCUGAAGGGCUUAUUUAACUA